UACGGAGGGUGCAAGCGUUGUUCGGAAUUACUGGGCGUAAAGCACGCGUAGGCGGCUUGGUAAGUUGGAAGUGAAAUCCCAGGGCUUAACUCUGGAACUGCUUUCAAAACUAUCAAGCUAGAGUAUGGCAGGGGACAGUGGAAUUCCUAGUGUAGAGGUGAAAUUCGUAGAUAUUAGGAGGAACACCAGUGGCGAAAGCGACUGUCUGGACCAUUACUGACGCUGAGGCGUGAAAGCGUGGGGAGCAAACAGG
rnacentral:rRNA from 1 species